AAUGAAAUUCAAAGAAUAACUAAUAAUCUAGCAUUUAACUUUAUUAUUCCAAAACAUAGCUAGUCCCCCGCUCCUCCCGUCUCAGCUAAUUGCAAAGCAACUAUCAAACCCAAUAGUCUUUUUUAUAUCCCCAACUUUGUUAACGUGCACCAACGUCCCAGAUAAAAGCAAAACAUCCGAUUAUAGCUCCAAAUGAGGUCCUUAAAGAAUAUGAACUACGCGCAAGUUACCCGGUCCCGACAGAUCCAACUCAGAAUCAUCAUUGUUCCUUGUUCAUCUUCAUUGACUCCUCCCACCAACAUCUUCAAUUUCUACGAUUCUAUUUCUCCAUGCCUGCGCCUCUUUUUUUCAAUUUGGUGGUCUAUUACUUUGUAACAGCUUCCUUUGUCAUGGUCCCACCUACACGUGUUGUUUGGUCGUCAAUAAUGACUGAUUGCACAGAAUGGGAUGUUUC
rnacentral:lncRNA from 1 species